rnacentral:rRNA from 1 species
CCUACGGGAGGCAGCAGUGGGGAAUAUUGCACAAUGGGGGAAACCCUGAUGCAGCGACGCCGCGUGAGUGAAGAAGUAUUUCGGUAUGUAAAGCUCUAUCAGCAGGGAAGAAAAUGACGUUACCUGAUUAAGAAGCCCCGGCUAACUACGUGCCAGCAGCCGCGGGAAGACGGAGGGGGCAAGCGUUAUCCGGAUUUACUGGGUGGAAAGGGAGCGUAGACGGCAGCACAAGUCUGGAGUGAAAUGCCGGGGCUUAACCCCGGAACUGCUUUGGAAACUGGGCAGCUAGAGUGCAGGAGAGGUAAGUGGAAUUCCUGGUGUAGCGGUGAAAUGCGUAGAUAUCAGGAGGAACACCAGUGGCGAAGGCGGCUAACUGGACUGUAACUGACGUUGAGGCUCGAAAGCGUGGGGAGCAAACAGGAUUAGAUACCCCUGUAGUC